rnacentral:tRNA from 11 species
UGGGGUAUAGCCAAGCGGUAAGGCAACGGACUUUGACUCCGUCAUUCCCAGGUUCAAAUCCUGGUACCCCAGCCA